AACACAUGCAAGUCGAACGGUAGCAGGUAAGUACUUAGCUACGUUGACGAGUGGCGGACGGGUGAGUAAUGGCCUUCGAAUCUGGCUUAUGGAGGGGGAUAACGACGGGAAACUGUCGCUAAUACCGCGUAGAAUCGAGAGAUGAAAGUGUGGGACCUUCCGCUCCAUAGGAUGAACCCAAGUGGGAUUAGGUAGUUGGUAGGGUAAUGGCCUACCAAGCCGACGAUCCCUAGCUGGUCUGAGAGGAUGACCAGCCACACCGGGACUGAGACAGCCUGAGGACUCCUACGGGAGGCAGCAGUGGGGAAUAAUGCCGAGGGGCAACCCUGACGCAGCCAUGCCGCGUGAAUGAAGAAGGCCUUCGGGUUGUAAAGCCCUUAGCUUGACGAGGAAGGCGUGAUGUUUAAUAGGCAUCACGAUUGAC
rnacentral:rRNA from 1 species